AUUGAACGCUGGCGGCAUGCCUUACACAUGCAAGUCGAACGGCAGCACGGGAGCAAUCCUGGUGGCGAGUGGCGAACGGGUGAGUAAUAUAUCGGAACGUGCCCAGUCGUGGGGGAGUAACGCAGCGAAAGCUGUGCUAAUACCGCAUACGAUCUAUGAUGAAGACGGGAGGGUAGGCGACGAACGACCGCGCGCGUGUA
rnacentral:rRNA from 1 species